rnacentral:rRNA from 1 species
UGGGGAAUAUUGGACAAUGGGCGAAAGCCUGAUCCAGCAAUGCCGCGUGAGUGAUGAAGGCCUUAGGGUUGUAAAGCUCUUUUACCCGGGAUGAUAAUGACAGUACCGGGAGAAUAAGCCCCGGCUAACUCCGUGCCAGCAGCCGCGGUAAUACGGAGGGGGCUAGCGUUGUUCGGAAUUACUGGGCGUAAAGCGCGCGUAGGCGGCUUUGUAAGUUAGAGGUGAAAGCCCGGAGCUCAACUCCGGAACUGCCUUUAAGACUGCAUCGCUAGAAUCGUGGAGAGGUGAGUGGAAUUCCGAGUGUAGAGGUGAAAUUCGUAGAUAUUCGGAAGAACACCAGUGGCGAAGGCGACUCACUGGACACGUAUUGACGCUGAGGUGCGAAAGCGUGGGGAGCAAACA